GACGAACGCUGGCGGCGUGCCUAAUACAUGCAAGUUGAGCGCUGAAGGUUGGUACUUGUACCGACUGGAUGAGCAGCGAACGGGUGAGUAACGCGUGGGGAAUCUGCCUUUGAGCGGGGGACAACAUUUGGAAACGAAUGCUAAUACCGCAUAAAAACUUUAAACACAAGUUUUAAGUUUGAAAGAUGCAAUUGCAUCACUCAAAGAUGAUCCCGCGUUGUAUUAGCUAGUUGGUGAGGUAAAGGCUCACCAAGGCGAUGAUACAUAGCCGACCUGAGAGGGUGAUCGGCAAAAUUGGGAAUGAAACCAGGCCAAAACUCCUACGGGAGGCAGAAGUGGGGAACCUUCGGCAAUGGACGAAAGUCUGCCCGGGCAACGCCGGUGGAGGGAAGAAGGUUUUGGGAUCUUAAAACUUGGUUGGUAGGGAAGAACGUGGGGGAGGGGGGAAAGCUCAUCAAGUGACGGUAACUACCCAAAAAGGGGCGGCUAACUACGU
rnacentral:rRNA from 1 species